UACAGAGGGGGCAAGCGUUGUUCGGAAUUACUGGGCGUAAAGGGCGCGUAGGCGGCCCGCUAAGUCGAACGUGAAAUCCCCGAGCUCAACUCGGGAACUGCGUCCGAUACUGCGUAGCUAGAGUACUGGAGAGGAUGGUGGAACUCUCGGUGUAGAGGUGAAAUUCGUAGAUAUCGAGAAGAACACCGGUGGCGAAGGCGGCCAUCUGGACAGAUACUGACGCUGAGACGCGAAAGCGUGGGGAGCAAACAGG
rnacentral:rRNA from 1 species